CUACGUGCCAGCAGCCGCGGUAAUACGUAGGUGGCAAGCGUUGUCCGGAAUUAUUGGGCGUAAAGCGCGCGCAGGCGGAUCAGUUAGUCUGUCUUAAAAGUUCGGGGCUUAACCCCGUGAUGGGAUGGAAACUGCCAAUCUAGAGUAUCGGAGAGGAAAGUGGAAUUCCUAGUGUAGCGGUGAAAUGCGUAGAUAUUAGGAAGAACACCAGUGGCGAAGGCGACUUUCUGGACGAAAACUGACGCUGAGGCGCGAAAGCCAGGGGAGCGAACGGGAUUAGAUACCCCGGUAGUCCUGGCCGUAAACGAUGGGUACUAGGUGUAGGAGGUAUCGAACCCCUUCUGUGCCGGAGUUAACGCAAUAAGUACCCCGCCUGGGGAGUACGGCCGCAAGGUUAAAACUCAAAUGAAUUGACGGGGGCCCGCACAAGCGGUGGAGCAUGUGGUUUAAUUCGAUGCAACGCGAAGAACCUUACCUACUCUUGACAUCCAGA
rnacentral:rRNA from 1 species